rnacentral:rRNA from 1 species
CAGUAGCCGCGGUAAUACGGAGGGUGCAAGCGUUGUCCGGAUUUAUUGGGUUUAAAGGGUGCGUAGGCGGCUAUUUAAGUCAGCGGUGAAAGACUCCGGCUCAACCGGAGCAGUGCCAUUGAUACUGGAUAGCUUGAGUGUUGGAGGGGUACAUGGAAUUGAUGGUGUAGCGGUGAAAUGCAUAGAUACCAUCAGGAACACCGAUAGCGAAGGCAUUGUACUGGCCAACAACUGACGCUGAGGCACGAAAGCAUGGGGAGCGAACAGGAUUAGAUACCCCAGUAGUCCCUGUCUCUUAUAC